AUACGUAGGGAGCAAGCGUUAUCCGGAUUUAUUGGGUGUAAAGGGUGCGUAGACGGAUAAACAAGUUAGUUGUGAAAUACCUCGGCUUAACUGAGGAACUGCAACUAAAACUAUAUAUCUUGAGUACUGGAGGGGAAAGCGGAAUUCCUAGUGUAGCGGUGAAAUGCGUAGAUAUUAGGAAGAACACCGGUGGCGAAGGCGGCUUUCUGGACAGCAACUGACGUUGAGGCACGAAAGUGUGGGGAGCAAACAGGAUUAGAUACCCUGGUAUUCCACGCCGUAAACGAUGAUGACUAACCGUCGGCGAUAGACAGCCGGUGGCCAAGCGAAAGCGAUAAGUCAUCCACCUGGGGAGUACGUCGGCAACGAUGAAACUCAAAUGAAUUGGCGGGG
rnacentral:rRNA from 1 species